AAAUCUUAAAGGCCGAAUAUCUAAGGUUUCCAGGGUAAAGCUGAUCUUCCCUGGGUAAGUCGGGGCCUAAGGCGAGGGCGAGAGCCGUAGUCGAUGGAUAACAGGUUGAAAUUCCUGUACUGCUUAUGGACAGAACUGUGGGGACGCAGAAGGAGAGCACGAGCCGGAAAUGGAAAAGCCGGUACAAGCGUAUAGCAGUCAUGCAGGCAAAACCGCAUGAAAAAUGUAAAGCGUUAUGUGGAUCGAACAUUAGUAGAGAAGCGUGUGAGCCAGCUGCCAAGAAAAGCCGCUAUUGUUUCAUAAGUACCCGUACCGUAAACCGACACAGGUGGAUGAGGAGAGAAUCCUAAGGCCGGCGGGAGAAGUGUUGUUAAGGAACUCGGCAAAAUGACUCCGUAACUUCGGGAGAAGGAGUGCCACAGAGAUGUGGCCGCAGAGAAAUGGCCCAAGCAACUGUUUAGCAAAAACACAGGUCUAUGCAAAACCGAAAGGUGAGGUAUAUGGGCUGACGCCUGCCCGGUGCUGGAAGGUUAAGAGGAGAGGUUAGAGCAAUCGAAGCUUUGAAUUUAAGCCCCAGUAAACGGCGGCCGUAACAAUAACGGUCCUAAGGUAGCGAAAUUCCUUGUCGGGUAAGUUCCGACCCGCACGAAAGGCGUAAUGAUUUGGGCACUGUCUCAACAACACACCCGGUGAAAUUGAAAUACCAGUGAAGAUGCUGGUUACCUGCGCCAGGACGGAAAGACCCCAUGGAGCUUUACUCCAGUUUGAUACUGGGAUUCGGUACUGUCUGUACAGGAUAGGUGGGAGGCUAGGAAAUGGUGACGCCAGUUGCCAUGGAGCCAACCUUGGGAUACCACCCUUACAGUACUGGGUUUCUAACCUGCAGCCGUAACCCGGCUGGGGGACAAUGUCUGACGGGGAGUUUGACUGGGGCGGUCGCCUCCGAAAGAGUAUCGGAGGCGCCCAAAGGUUCCCUCAGAACGGUUGGAAACCGUUCGAAGAGUGCAAAGGCAGAAGGGAGCUUGACUGCGUCACCGACGGGUGGAGCAGAUACGAAAGUAGGACUUAGUGAUCCGGUGGUAUAAAGUGGGAUUGCCAUCGUUCAACGGAUAAAAGCUACCCUGGGAUAACAGGCUUAUCACUCCCAAGAGUUCACAUCGACGGAGUGGUUUGGCACCUUGAUGUCGGCUCAUCGCAUCCUGGAGCUGUAGCAGGUUCCAAGGGUUGGGCUGUUCGCCCAUUAAAGCGGUACGCGAGCCGGGUUCAGAACGUCGUGAGACAGUUCGGUCCCUAUCCGGCGUGGGCGUAGGAUAUUUGAGAGGAGCUGUCCUUAGUACGAGAGGACCGGGAUGGACAAACCUCUGGUGUAUCUGUUGUUUUACCAAAGGCAUGGCAGAGUAGCCAAGUUUGGCAGGGAUAAACGCUGAAGGCAUCUAAGCGUGAAGCCCCCCUCAAGAUAAGAUAUCCCAUCUUCGGAGUAAGACCCCUUGAAGACUACAAGGUUGAUAGGCUUCAGGUGUAAGUGUGGUAACGCACUCAGCUGAGAAGUACUAAUAGGUCGAGGACUUAUC
rnacentral:rRNA from 1 species